AACGAACGCUGGCGGCAUGCCUAACACAUGCAAGUCGAACGAGACCUUCGGGUCUAUUGGCGCACGGGUGCGUAACGCGUGGGAACCUGCCCUUAGGUUCGGAAUAACUCCCCGAAAGGGGUGCUAAUACCGGAUAAUGUCUUCGGACCAAAGAUUUAUCGCCUUUGGAUGGGCCCGCGUUGGAUUAGCUAGUUGGUAGGGUAAAAGCCUACCAAGGCGACGAUCCAUAGCUGGUCUGAGAGGAUGAUCAGCCACACUGGGACUGAGACACGGCCCAGACUCCUACGGGAGGCAGCAGUGGGGAAUAGUGGACCAUGGGCGAAAGCAUGAUCCAGCAAUGCCGCGUGAGUGAUGAAGGCCUUAGGGUUGUAAAGCUCUUUUACCCGGGAUGAUAAUGACAGUACCGGGAGAAUAAGCGCCGGCUAACUCCGUG
rnacentral:rRNA from 1 species